ensembl:lncRNA
AUUCAGGCGAGGGAGGUCUCAACUCAUUGACCCAAUUGCAAAGGAAUUCCUGUGUAUCCUCAUUGUCUGAUGAGUACAUUUCAGCUGAAGGUGAUCUAGCCUCACAGAUUUCCCCUUCAUGGAAAUCCUCUGAUUUCAUUUUCAAAUGACACCUCACAACAUCUGCAUACGUCAAAGGUUUUGUAAAUACGGCACGUCUGCUAUUUGACAUUGGAACAUCUAUUUCUUGAUCUUUGAAAUUAAAUGGAAAUGAGUCAGGUGAAUCUGGUCGAAUCUCAUCAAACAACUCUUCGAUAAAAAAGCCAAAUAAUUCUGGGUCAGAUGCAGUGGACUGAGAUGAUGAGUGUCUCCCUUCAAAGAAUCGCAAGUAAUAGUCACAAUUUUGAGACUCAAGUGGAACAAAGGUGUUGUCAGAACAGACACAACUUAGAUCAACAGAUGUUACUGAUUCAGGGGAAGAUGGUCUCAACUCGGCUAACCAGUUCUGAACAAGGGAACAAUCUACAUCUGAAGAAAUUAAUUCUGCAGAGAAGGGCAAGCUAUC